GGAGGUAUAGCUCAGUUUUUGUGCGUGUGUUUAGCAUGCACAUGGUCCUGGGUUCAAUCCCCAGGACCUCCA
rnacentral:tRNA from 1 species